ensembl:lncRNA
CUCUUCCCUCCAUGCAGCUCAGAGGCUGGCUACAACCCAGCACUGUGGCCGGCCUCAGCUGCUCCCUGGGGUGCUAGGGUCCAUCUUGGCCUGUCCUCCUGACACAUCGGGCCAUUACCACAUCUCGGGCUCAGCCUCCUUUCUUUCAGCUCUUCUUGUACAAUGCUCUUCGGUCAGUGCUGGCAGCUUGUCAGGGCUCAGCCAUGUCCAAGAGCAGCUUCACAGAUAUCUCCAGGGAACAAACCAUGUGGAGCUGUUUGAGGCCCAGCGAAUGAUUUUGGUUGUGUCCUUCACUGCUGAGAGCCACUUCCACCUGACCUUGGACACAGUGACAAUGUUUGCUGCCAUGCUGACCAGAGGCAGGUUUUCAGAGACAUCUGGAGACUGGAAGAGGUACAAUGGCAGCAGAAGAAGGAGGAAGCCCAGGCUGCUCACAUUGCUGUCAUGCUCACCUACAGUGACACUGCACUGCAUGCCCCAGGAAGCAUCUUCUGGGCUGUGUGGAUGCAGACAUCUUGGGCAAGAUCCUGCUGUUUUCUAGAGCCAGCCAACAGGACUCUCAGCUAAAGCUUGCCUUGGUGCAGAGUAUCACUGAGGUCAGCUGCUCCAUCCAGGCUGUGGGUGAUUGCCCCAGCUUUGGACUCUUCUCAAAGCAGGAGGCCCUGAGGACACUGCUGGGCUGGGUAAAAGAGGAGCCCUGG